GUCAGCACCCCGCUCUAAAGAGACGGGUCUUCGUGCCUCCCCUUUAGGUAGCUGACCAGCCUAAGCCUUAACUGGCUACGUUAUCUGAGUCAAGAUACCCACAAAUGCGUCGCUAGUUUGUGGCUCUAUC
rnacentral:sRNA from 20 species